rnacentral:rRNA from 1 species
GGCGCCGCUACCAUGCAGUCGAACGAGAAAGCAGGAGCAAUCCUGUGAGUAAAGUGGCGUACGGGUGAGUAACACGUGGAUCAUCUACCCUCUUGUGGGGGAUAACCCUGGGAAACCGGGGCUAAUACCGCAUAAGCUCGAGAGAGGAAAGCAGCAAUGCGCAGGAGGAGGAGUCCGCGGCCGAUUAGCUAGUUGGUAGGGUAAAAGCCUACCAAGGCAACGAUCGGUAGCCGGCCUGAGAGGGCACACGGCCACACUGGCACUGAAACACGGGCCAGACUCCUACGGGAGGCAGCAGUGGGGAAUCUUGCACAAUGGGGGCAACCCUGAUGCAGCGACGCCGCGUGAGCGAUGAAGCCCUUCGGGGUGUAAAGCUCUUUCGGCAGGGAAGAUUAUGACGGUACCUGCAGAAGCAGCUGCGGCUAACUACGUGCCAGCAGCCGCGGUAAUACGUAGGCAGCAAGCGUUGUUCGGAGUUACUGGGCGUAAAGGGUGUGUAGGCGGUUCUUUAAGUUUGGUGUGAAAUCUCCCGGCUCAACUGGGAGGGUGCGCCGAAAACUGGAGAGCUAGAGUGCGGGAUGGGAGAGUGGAAUUCCUGGUGUAGCGGUGAAAUGCGUAGAUAUCAUGAGGAACAUCGGUGGUGGUAAGACGGCUUCUCUGGACCGCAACUGACGCUGAGACACGAAAGCGGUGGGUAGCAAACAGGAUAGAUACCCUGUAGUCCACGCCCUAAC